rnacentral:rRNA from 1 species
AGAGUUUGAUCCUGGCUCAGGAUGAACGCUGGCGGCAUGCCUAAUACAUGCAAGUCGAACGAGGAUCCUUGUGGAUCCUAGUGGCGAACGGGUGAGUAACACGUAGGGAACCUGCCCGCGCACCGGGAAUACGCUCUGGAAACGGAGAACAAAUCCCGAUGUACAGGAAGGAGGCAUCUUCUUUCUGUGAAACAUCCUGUAAGGGAUGGGGCGCGGAUGGACCUGCGGUGCAUUAGUUGGUUGGCGAGGGUAAAGGCCCACCAAGACGAUGAUGCAUAGCCGGCCUGAGAGGGCGGACGGCCACAUUGGGACUGAGACACGGCCCAGACUCCUGCGGGAGGCAGCAGUAGGGAAUUUUCGUCAAUGGGCGCAAGCCUGAACGGGCGAUGCCGCGUGAGUGAAGAAGGCCUUCGGGUCGUAAAGCUCUGUUGCGGGGGAAAAAAGGCAUCUGCAGGAAAUGGUAGAUGACAGAUGGUGCCCCGCCAGAAAGUCACGGCUAACUACGUGCCAGCAGCCGCGGUAAUACAUAGGUGGCGAGCGUUAUCCCGGAAUAGAUUGGCCGAAAAGG